rnacentral:rRNA from 1 species
AUUGAACGCUGGCGGCAGGCCUAACACAUGCAAGUCGAGCGGAUGAAGGGAGCUUGCUCCUGGAUUCAGCGGCGGACGGGUGAGUAAUGCCUAGGAAUCUGCCUGGUAGUGGGGGAUAACGUCCGGAAACGGGCGCUAAUACCGCAUACGUCCUGAGGGAGAAAGUGGGGGAUCUUCGGACCUCACGCUAUCAGAUGAGCCUAGGUCGGAUUAGCUAGUUGGUGGGGUAAAGGCCUACCAAGGCGACGAUCCGUAACUGGUCUGAGAGGAUGAUCAGUCACACUGGAACUGAGACACGGUCCAGACUCCUACGGGAGGCAGCAGUGGGGAAUAUUGGACAGUGGGCGAAAGCCUGAUCCAGCCAUGCCGCGUGUGUGAAGACGGUCUUCGGAUUGUAAAGCACUUUAAGUUGGGAGGAAGGGCAGUAAGUUAAUACCUUGCUGUUUUGACGUUACCAACAGAAUAAGCACCGGCUAACUUCGUG